UACGGGGGGGGCAAGCGGUUGUUUGGAAUUACUGGGCGUAAAGGGCUCGUAGGUGGCCAACUAAGUCAGACGUGAAAUCCCUCAGCUUAACUGGGGAACUGCGUCUGAUACUGGAUGGCUUGAGUUUGGGAGAGGGAUGCGGAAUCCAGGUGUAGCGGUGAAAUGCGUAGAUAUCUGGAGGAACACCGGUGGCGAAGGCGGCAUCCUGGACCAACACUGACACUGAGGAGCGAAAGCCAGGGGAGCAAACGGG
rnacentral:rRNA from 1 species